CACACACACACACACACACACACACACACACACCAUGGGGUGAGGAGGGCAUCAUCAAGGAGAGUGGAUUAGGGGAGCCAGUUGUACCCUGAGUGGUCCCCAGCAAACUCACUGACCUUUCUGUCUUACUUUCCAAAUGAGUAGUUGGAUAUAAUUAGCUUUUGUCCAAAUGUUAGAUUAUUUCCAGGCUUUUGCAAUUUGUUCUAUGCCCACAUGUUUCCUAUUAACUUGAACAUUCUUAUUCAAAUUAACUCCCUUUUUCUUCCUUCAGAAGUGUGUGUGUGUGUGUGUGUGUGUUUAUAAUGGGAACUUUAAAUCAGCACAUAAAUGGUAAAGUACCAUCAUUCACCUUAACGAGAAGAGAUCUCUAAAAAAAGUCAGCAUAAUUUAAAAAAACAGAGCAAUAUCAUUAAUAUGCACUUAGACAUUGCUGUAUGUUAAACCCCUUGCCUGAAGACUUUUUCCUCUCUUGGCUUAGAAGGAAAUUUAUCCAGAAGGCAUAAAGACUUGCUGGGGACCUACAGCAUGAGCACCACUUUGAUUUGUCCCCUUAGCCAGUUCCAGAAGCUGAAAGAACAGAGAAGGAAAUUCAAAGUUAUGAUGGGUAAUACUCUUUGUCAAGUUUGCAGAAUGUAGAAUUACCACAAAGGUUAGCCUCCAGCCACACCGGUAAGGAAUUACCUACAUUAGGUUAGCCUCUGAGAAUGUCUGUGAGGAAUUAGCUCUUCUGGGCACUAAUUGCAGUGGGAAGUCCUACACUGUGAGUGGCACCAUUCCCUGGGCUGAAGUUCUAGGAUGAAGAAAAAGGAGAAUGUGAACUGGGUUGAGAACUAGCUUUCAUCAUUUAGUCCUUCCUGACUGUGGGUGGAGUUUAAGCUUCGGCUGCCAGGACUUUUCUCCCACAAUGCUCUGCACCUUCUAACCGUGAGAUACAAUAAAUCCUUCCUUCCCUAAGCUGCAUUGAUCAGGUACUUUGUUCCAGGAUUGAGACAGGUAACCAAAGUACUGUUGGAGGAUAAGUAAUAUGAAAUGGUGACUUAGUAGUCAGCUGAUUAUCUAGUAAUCAAGAAAUAACUUAGAGAAGCACUUUAAUAAGGACAGAUCAUCUGGGUGGUCCUUUGAGGAAGUAAAUAACCGCAGGCUAGGAGUGGACCCAGAACUCCAUGUCUGGGGUUGGUGGGCUGAGGCAGAAUAGGUUUUGCUUAACCUUUCCAGAGUUCGCAAGCAGCUCUCUAGUCCUCAGAGCCAUGUGGUUCUCAGCCUUAGGUUUCUAUCUGGGGUUCCCCGUGUUUUAGUCAAGCUUUCUUCCUUCCAAGGAAUGUAAGCCUAAAAUUGUUUUUAAAAGGUGCUAUAAAGCUAAACAAAUCACCUGUAAUUCAGAGAUGAGAAGCAUCCCAGCAGUCUCCCUCUGCUUGUUUCUCCAUCCAUCCAUCCAUCCAUCCAUCCAUCCAUCCAUCCAUCUGCCAUGCCUCCUCUGCCUUGUGGUUCAGUCUGGCCAAUCAGGCAUUCCUGAAAGCUCGUUGGUCUUCCUUCUUUCAAUGUUCUAGCUCCUCUAAGCACAAGUGAUUCAGGGUGGGCAGUCGGACUGAGUCAGGUAUCGUCUGAUUCUGUGAGGUCAGGAUGCUAGUCCUGGACUGUUUCGGGGCCACUCCUGCUCAAAGGAAACCUUAGAACUCUUACUCGGGAGAUGAGAAAGACAGGCUGGAAAGAGAAGAGCCGGUGUGCUUGACAGGUACUCAUCUGAUGUGCUCCUCCCACUGUCAAAACUGGGCAAUCUUUGAGGAAGAAACUGACCAUCUACCAUGCUCUACCUAGCGGUUCACAGCCACAUGGAACUGGUAUCUGGGAGGCCAUAACUCUUCUCUGUGUUGUGACUUCUUAGCUGCCAGAGAAGCAUGCAAAAGUGCAUGGGCAGGGGAGACUUCAGGAAACUCCUGGACUUGCUGGUCAGUUCAUUUUGCAUCGGCUGUGGAAGGAAGGGCUGGACAUUACAGGAAAAGCUAAUGACAUAUGAGCAGAUGUGAGCUCAAAUACGGCUGCUGACAUUUAUCAGCUAUUUUCUCCUGAGUGCUCAUUCACACCUGACUUUGGAUCUAUAAGACAGAUUUUAAGAGACUAACAGCUGAAAUGCCUUGGGGAAGGUUAAAUGGACUCAUCUCAUCUGUUCUCUGGUCCUGAGGGUUCCUAGCCUGGCAGAAAAGACUUGAAUAUAAAGUUGCACCACACUACAGAGUGCUACAGUUAGCAAGAGGGGCAGUCCAGAGCGGUUAUAGGAUACAGGAUGGGGUAGAUGACUCUGACACCCAGGAAGCCAUGUUCUCUCUGGGCUUCGAAAAGUUGAGAUCUCUUUGAGAGCAGAGGAUGGUGGAGACAAGGUUCUGGCUAAAGGGAAGUCUUAAACAAUGGCAAAGAACAUGAGUAUGUAAGGCAUGUCUGGGGAAGCAGGGACAGAGUGCUCCAAGCUCAAGCCUACCUUUAUUGUAAGGCUUUACUGGACGUCUCGUGCAUCAGAAACUAGAAAGGCAGGAAGGGAUUGGCUUGUGCAAAAAGCUAACACUACCUUGCUAUUUCCACCGUCUUCUGUCUUCCAGAUAUCCAGGUUGUCUUGCCAUUGAUUGAGUCUCAGUAAGAAAGGAUCAUCACCGAGAGUCCCAAGAGGGGAUAUUUCAUGAGGCUGUAGCAAGAAGCCAUUUUUGGACACAAAAUCAAUUGCAAAAGAGCACAGGGAGCCUUGCCGCAUAGUAAAGUAGCAGUGGAGAG
rnacentral:sRNA from 1 species